GAGCAGUUGUCAUCAUGUGGCGAACACAGCUGACAGGUGGAAGCUUCUGGACAGCCUAAGGCUCUAGUAUGGGAUUUAAGCAAGUCCUGACUCAGGGGUUGAGCUAUAAGGAUCUAGGAAAAACAAUGAACUGUAGUGAAACCUGAGGUCUUAAGGAAUCCGUGCCACCGCCCUUGACACCGGCACACACCAUGGUGGGCAACACUCGACCCGGGUAGUCCUUGUUGCAAGAUGCUUCCGAGAUAAUGCUGAUGUUGGCACAAUGCAAUGUAUCAGGGAGUCUCACUGAGGAGGACAGAUGGCUUUGAGUAUAUUCAGUUCCUUUGGUUCUUGUCCCCUCCAUUCAAGAACCCCCUGGGACAACAUUGCUGGAAUUUCUAUCUCCAGCUCCAUCCUUCCACUCACCUUGUGACUUUUGGCUCCCUGUGGCUCCAGGGUUGUUGUCUGAUAACAGACCCCAGCCUGACACCACGCAGUCCUCGCCUAUAAGGGGGCAACGUCUGGGCAGCGCCACAGGACGCACGUAGGCUGUCAGCCGGGCAGGUUGGAAAAGUUGCAACAGCAUGAUGUCAUGGCGGUGGGUGCGAGCCUCGUAGCCCGGAUGUGGGAUGAUGCGAGAGACGGAGCGCAGUUGCUCUGGACCAUCGAACUUGCGGAGAUUGUGCUCACCCAGACGCACUCUCAUGAAGCUGUGUGAUCGAGUAGGAGGAGACAAAGUGGUCAGAGAGGAUAACCUGGGAUCUUUGGAGAACUUUCUCCUUUUCUCAAGUCCUUGAAGCCAGUGGUUCCAACCGUGACCUCUCCAGAACUCAGGAGUUUCACGGGGUGUGAUGGUUCAUGCCUUUAACCCCAACACUUGGGAGGCAGAAGCAGGGGGAUUUCUCUAAGUUGUGGACCAGAUUGGUCUACACGGUGAGUUCUAGAGCAAACUGGGUUACAUAGUCAAAACAAACAAAAAACAAACUAACAAACU
rnacentral:lncRNA from 1 species